GCUGGCGGCGUGCUUAACACAUGCAAGUCGAACGGAAUUGAGGGGCUUCGCUCCUCAAUUUAGUGGCGCACGGGUGAGUAACGCGUGGAUAAUCUACCUGAAGAUCCGGGAUAACAUUUCGAAAGGGGUGCUAAUACCGGAUAAGCCCACGGGGACUUUGGUUCUUGCGGGAAAAGAGGGGGACCUUCGGGCCUCUUGUCAUCAGAUGAGUCCGCGUACCAUUAGCUAGUUGGUGGGGUAAAGGCCCACCAAGGCGACGAUGGUUAGCUGGUCUGAGAGGAUGAUCAGCCACACUGGAACUGAGACACGGUCCAGACUCCUACGGGAGGCAGCAGUGGGGAAUUUUGCGCAAUGGGGGAAACCCUGACGCAGCAACGCCGCGUGAGUGAUGAAGGCCUUCGGGUCGUAAAGCUCUGUCUAGAGGAAAGAAAUGUAUGGGGGCUUAAUACCCUUUGUACUUGACGGUACCUCUGAAGGAAACACCGGCUAACUCCGUGCCAGCAGCCGCGGUAAUACGGAGGGUGCGAGCGUUGCUCGGAAUUAUUGGGCGUAAAGCGCGUGUAGGCGGUUUCUUAAGUCUGAUGUGAAAGCCCCGGGCUCAGCCUGGGAAGUGCAUUGGAUACUGGGAGACUUGAAUACGGGAGAGGGCAGUGGAAUUCCUAGUGUAGGAGUGAAAUCCGUAGAUAUUAGGAGGAACACCGGUGGCGAAGGCGGCUGCCUGGACCGAUAUUGACGCUGAGACGCGAAAGCGUGGGGAGCAAACAGGAUUAGAUACCCUGGUAGUCCGGCUGUCAAAAUAGUCGUAUA
rnacentral:rRNA from 1 species